CGCUGUGGGGCUGGGAGCCCUCAGUGCCGCUGUGGGGCUGGGAGCCCUCAGUGCCGCUGUGGGGCUGGGAGCCCUCAGUGCUGCUUGGGGCGCUGCCAGGGCAUGGCUGGGUCCUGCUGAAGGCCGGGCUGAGCGUGCGAGUGCAGGAGCCUGUGGCUGUUGCCUGGUGAGCACGACAAACAGCCCCGAGGAAAAGACUCCGCUCCACGGCGUGUCAGAGUCUUUCGGUGGCCUUAAACCCCUCAGUUUGUCAGGUGUUGUGGUGAGUCUGGUGCUGCUGUGUAUUUUCCAGGCUGAACCGACCCAGCUCUCUCAGCUUUCCCUCACGGGACAGACACUCCUGUUCCUUCACCGUGUUUGUGGCCCUUCCCUGGGCUCUUCCCGGUAGCUCCGCAUCUCUGGUGGGCUGGAGAGCCCAGACAGGCACAGCACUCCAGGUGUGCCUCACGGGCAGGGGAGAGGGCAGGAUCCCUCCGUGCCCCGCUGGCAGCACCCCCAGUGAGCCUGGCAGGGAUUUGGGGCACUCACCACUGCCCCGUGAUCCUCCUGGGCCUUUCUGGUUGAGCUGCUGUUGUUUCAUGCGGUUUUUCCUCCCCAGGGAGACCAGAGGAAAGAGGAGCAAGAAUGAAGAAGUAAAUUUUCACUCUUCUUGAAGAAAAAAUGGUGAAGUCAUUUGGGAUCCAGUUGUAUUCUAUGCAGGGUGGAAGAAAACAAUCGUAUUAGUAUAUCAUUGCUUUUUUUUACGCUUUUUGCACCUCACCUUUGGCCUUCAGAAGACACAGAUAUCUCUAAAUUUUUUGUCUUGGUUUGGUUUGGUUUUUUUUUUUUUGUUUUUCCUAAAAUCUAGGACAUUACUUUUUCAUUGAGAAAAUUUUUUUAAUGGGAGGUUCAAACAAGGUGUUUGAAGUCUCACACAUGAGAUGUACCUUGUCUUCACAUCUUCACAUUCUUUUGUCCUUUUGCAGGUCAAAUUUAUACAAAUUAAUACUGAUAAAUGUACAUCAGCAAUCCUAUAGCAUAUGGGUUAUUCUGCAGUCUGUAGGUCUGUAGUGAAUUCUCCAGCUAGGCUUACAGUCUACCAUAUAUUUGUAAGUUUACACUUCAUGAAAACUAACCUGAAUGGUAGCAACUGAUAUUUUAAAGCAUUGUUAUACAUACUGAAUGAUUUAUGCAUGUUUAAGGUUGAAUCCAGAUCUUUUUUUUAAAUCACAAAAUCAUAGAAUCACAGAAUGUUAAGGGUUGCAAGAGGCCUUAAAGAUCAUCUAGUCACAAUCUCCCUUCCACGCAACCAGGUUGCUCAAGACCUUAUCCAACUUAAAAAAUAAAUUAAGAGGGUCCCACGGAGAGCUGGCUGAGUAACAACAAUCACACCAAUAAGGCUUCAUGCCGUUCUAUAAAUUUUAUUAACAAACUUAUCAUACAUAUAUUUCUAUGCUUUGUUCACACAGCAAUUAUCUAACACUCAUUGGCUAACUGGCUGAAAUCACGCAUACAUGUUACUGGUUGAUUUGCUGUCAUGCUGCAAGUGCUUGGUCAGAGCUUGCUGAUAUAGUGGUUCUCAUAUCCUGCAUAGUGUCUAGUUGUACUUGUACAAUGGUUCAUUUUUCCUUAUUCUGCUUGUUCAAGGAUGGUCCAAGAUUGUUAAAGUAACUGUAAUCUGCAGGUCCAGGUUGUCCAGUCCCUGCAAAGGAAUAGCAUGUCCCUGUUCUGCAAGAAAUUCCUGUACAAAUAAACACCUACCUGGAAUAUU